UCAAUAAGGGUGUCUAGUUAAUGUAGUGGUAUACAUUGUAAAGGCUGCAAAAUAAUAUAUUGUUUUCACGAUAAAACUGCAUUUUCAAUAUUUCGUUUAGCAUUGACAUAUGUGCGAUAAUAGUUGCGGAUUAUCUGUUAUCAUUUUUUAGUAAUAUUUUAUAAAAUUAGUUUUCUUAUCCAGCAAUGCUAUGUUGUUGUCAUUUAAACUAUGGCAUUCAUGUGUCUGUGUAGCGCUUGUUGUAUGCUAAAAAAGCUUACGGGAAUAUUUUAUUGUUUUGUGUUUGAUCUGUUUUGUAUCAAAUUUAUUAUCCACUCGCACACAGUUCGGUGUUGUUUUGCUAUUUAACAUGAAUUUUUCUGUAUAACAGAUAAUAGCGUUUUAGUUUUUGUUUCAAUAUAAGUUAUUGUCUAUAUACUACCAAUAUCAAAAGCACAUUAGUUUCUGCGUCGAUACAGUAUGGAUUUAUUUUUUAUAUGUUCUAUAUUGACCGUUGGCUCAAUAUUUUAUUAUAUAUGUGUGAUUCUUUCAAUUCUAAUCCUAGAGUUCCAUAAAUCUUAACAUGAAUUUGUUCCUGUUGUAUAUGAAGAAAUACAUAAAAUCUAUCAUUUUAGCUAUUAGAUUCGUGUGUUCGUCUGUGUUAUGUGUGUUUAGUGUACGCUAUGAAGAUCCCGAUGUCGGUAAAUGAUAGCAACUACAGUUCUAUACUAGAAAUACUCUAGCAUCAGUUUUUCUUCAUACUAUACAUAAGGAUAGUUUUGCCGAAUUAGUUUUCACUUUUUAGGUUUCUGCUGAAUACAAUUACCAAUGUGUGCGUUUUUGAUGGGUUAUGUCGAGCUAAUCCUAAUUAUUGACCACUACUGCACUCAUACUCCACUUUUCCAGAUUUUCAGAACUCACCAUUGCUUAGAGUCAAACGGUUAGAAACCAAAUCAAUGUUCUAUUGCUACUGUCCGUAAUUCCAUCAUAAAAUAUAUCACCAAUCGUCACCAAAUUAUAAGUACUUUCAAUAUUUCAUAGAAUUACACCUGAUUUAAAUAAAAGUAUGUUUGCUGGUAAUCAGAAAACUGCUGAUUUUGCGUGUGUUGAAUGCAUUUGGCAAUACGAAUUACUGACUUUCAGCAUUUUUUUUUCCAAAUUUUUGAAAUUCCUAGCAAUUUUGACAGCUAACACUAGUUUACAGAAAUAAAACAAAAGUCAUCAACGAACAGAAUUUUUCAUACAUAACGUGCUCAAUUUAGAAUCGAGCUUCAAGCAAAUUUCAGCAAAAUAGUUAUUUUUAGCUAUAGCUGAUAAACUUUUGAAGGAAUCUCAAAUUGAAAUUGUAAAGGAGUUCCGCGAAGAAUUCCAGGAAGAGUCCCCGAAGGAAUUCCAGAAGGAAACCAGACGGGUUUCCAGAAUGACUCCACGAAGGAAUUCGAAGAGGAUUAACCGAAGAAUUUUCAGGAGGAAUGACGGAAGGAUGCCCAGGAGGGAUCCUCGAAGCAAUUUUAGGAGGAAUCCCCGGAGGAAUCUCCGGAGGAACUGCGGAAGGAAUUCUCGAAGGAAUUCCAGGAGGAAUCCACGAAGGAAUUCCAAGAGGAAUUACAGAAGGAAUCCUCAAAUGAAUUCCAGGUGGAACCCCAGAAGGAAUUACAAGCGGAGUCCCCGAAAGAAUUCCAGGAGGUAUCCCCGAAGAAAUUCCAGGAGCACCCAAAGGAAUUCCAUAAGGAGUCCUCAAAGGAAUUCUUUUUUUUUAUUCGUUCAUAUAUGUUCAUUUAGGCUAAUUCUUUAGGCGCCGUCCACAAAUUACGUAACGCUCUAGGGGGAGGGGGGGAGUACGGUCGAGCGUUACGGCUCAUACAAAAAUUUAAGGAUUUUCAUACAAAAAAGCGUUACGGAGGGGGGAGGGGGGGGGUCGAAAAAUUCCGAUUUUUGCGUUACGUAAUGAAUGGACGCUGCCUUACAGCUAAGGAAUUCCAGGAGGCAUCUGCGAAGGAAUUUAAGAAGAGAUUCUCGGAGAAAUAUCAGGAGGAAUGCUCGUAGCAAUUCUAGGAGGAAUCCUCGGAAGGAAUUCCAGGAGGAAUCCUCGUAGGAAUUCCAGGAGGAAUCCCCGAAGGAAUCCCAGGAAGAAUCUCCGAAGGAAUUCCAAAAAAACCGGAAAGAAUUCCAGGAGGAAUCCUCGGAGGAAUUUCCGAAUGAAUCCUUGAAAGAAUUCCUAGAGGAAUCUCCGAAGAAAUUCGAGGAGGAAUCCCCAAACGAAUCUCCGAAGGAAUUUCAGGAGGAUUUCCAGGGGGAAUUCUCGAAAGAAUUCCAGAAGGAAUCCUCGAAAGAAUUCCAGGAGCAAUACCCGAAGGAAUUUCAGGAUGAAUCCCCGGAGAAAUUCCAGGAGGAAUCCACGGUCAGGAGGAAGCCCCGUUGAACUUUCAAGAGGAAUCCUCGAAGUAAUUCAAGGAGGAAUCGCCGAAGAAAUUCCAGGAGCACACAAAGUAAUUGCAUUAGGAAUCCUCUAAAGAAUUCCAGGAGGAAUCUCCGAAGAAAUUUAAAAAUGAAUUCUCGGAGAAAUACCAGGAGGAAUCCUCGGAGCUAUUCCAGGAGGAAUCCUCAGAAGGCAUUCCAGGAGGAAUCCUCGGAAGGCAUUCCAGGAGGAAUCCUCGGAGGAAUCCCCGAAGGAAUUCCAGGAGGAAUCCCCGAAGGAAUCCCAGAAAGAAUCUCCGAAGGAAUUCCAAGAGAAAUCCCCGAAAAAAUUCCAGGAGGAAUCCCCUUAGGAACUUCCGAAGGAAUCCUUAAAAGAAUUCCGGGAGGAAUCUCCGCAGGAAUUUCAAAAGAAAUCUCCAAAAGAAUUCCAGGAGAAAUAACUAGAGGAAUUUCAGGGAGAAUUCCAGAAGGAAUCCUCGGAAGAAUUUCUGGAGAAAUCCCCGAAGGUCUUUCUGGAGGAGCUUCCGAAGGAAUUCCAAGAGGAAUCACCGAAAGCAUUCCAGGAGGAAUCCUCGCAGGAAUUUCAGCAGGAAUCCUCAAAGGUAUUCCUGGAGGAGUUCUCGAAGGAAUUUCAGGACGAAUCGCCGAAGAAAGUCCAGGAGGAAUCCCUGAAAGAAUUCCAGGAGGAAUCCUCGAAGGAAUUCCAGGAGAAAAGUCCAGCAGGAAUCCUAGAAGGAAGCCCAGGAGAAAUCCCCGAUGAACUUUCUGACGGAAUCCUCGAAAGAAUUCAAGAACGAAUUCAAGAAGGAAAUCCUGGAGGCCUCCUUGGAAAUAAAAACAUCUGAAGGAGUUCUUGUAGGAACUCCAUGAAGUAUCCUUCAAGGAAAGCUUGGAGAUAUGCCUGAUUAUAUAGGAAUCGCUCAAGAAACUCUUGUAGGUACUUCUGAAGAAAUCUCUGGAUCCUUCUGGCAAAAAUCACCGAAAGAACUCCAGGAGUGAUCCUUGGAAGAACUCCUGGAAGAAUCCAUAAAAGAACUUCUGGAGGAAAUCCCGAAAGAACUUCUGGAAAAAUCUUAGGAGGAACUCUUGGACUAAUUCCUGAAGGAACUAUUGUAGGAAUCUUCGAAUCCUGCUGUAAGAAUCUCUAAAGGAAAACCUGGAGAGAUAUCUACAGGAAAUUCUAAAGGAAUACCAAGAGGAAAUUCUGAAAAAAAAAAAAACAUCUGCACGAAUCCCUGAAACUAUUGAAGGAAUCUCUGAAUUAACUCCUGGACUAAUCUCUGCAGGAACUCUUGUAGUAAUUUCUGAUGGAAUCCCUGGUGGACCUCCUAGACUGAUUUCAAAAGGACCUCCAGUAGAAAAUCCUGGAGCAUCCUGGAGGCAUCUUGAAUACUCCUGAAAUAAUCUCUGAAGGAACUUUUGAUGGAAUACCUGAGGCAACACCUGCUGGAAUACCUGAGGGAACUUAUGGAUGAGUACUUUAAAUUUUGCGACAGAUUAGUGAAAGUUGUGUUAUUGACGAGUUUAUGGAAAAACCUGCUUCAGUUUUCGCAAAUUUUUCAAAAGAUUUCAAAGGUAUGGAUUUUUCUUAAUGAGAAAAAUAUAAUAUAAAAAUUAUUCCUCAACGUACUUGUGCAAUAUAAGAUGAUAGCGAGGCAUGAUUCUACACCUUUUUUCAAAAUUUUGCUCGAAAUUUAGCAAGGGGAUCUCAAAGGAUUUCAGAAUAUGAAAGGGUUUUUUUUUUUUUUGUUUUUAUUAAUGUGUAUUUUAACAUCAAGCUUAUUCUACACCUACGAAAGGGGUGUUUUAAGGGUGUCAGGGGAGUUUAUCCUUAGAGGAUUCUCGGCAGAAUCCUGGGAGGAUUCUCGGCAGAAUCCUGGGAGGAUUAUCUGCAGAAUCCUGAGAGAAACUCCUCAAAAAAUGUGGGGGCGGUCGAGAGGGGUUUCAGAGACUAACACCCCUGGUUUCAAAGGAAUUCAGGGUGUUUCAGGAUUUCAUGGAGUUGCAGAGGCGUUCCAGAGGAUUUCAAGGGAAGGUUUCCGGGCGCUCAAGGAUAUUUCAGGUGGUUCCAGGAGCGUUUCGGAGAUGCUCUAAGAGUACCCAAGUAACCAGUAAGCAUUUAAAAUAGCAUUCCUUCAGCAUUAUAGUAGCCUUUACGACAAGGCGUUUAAUGCCAAUUAGCCGUAUAUGCGCCUAUAGUGCUACCUCACAGCAGGUUUUGGCAAAAUAACGGGCUGUCUUAGUGCUAUCCCUUCAGGAACGUCGUGAUGAAAUGUCAAAGAAGCGUAACGCCUCGUCGAGCAAAAAAAAAAAAAAAUAGAUUGACGUCUGCUUCUCGUUCUCUCAAGCCUGCUUCCCCGCUUCAUCGUCAUUCCAUAUUCCAGCCGGUGCUAGGUGGUACAUUUUUGCUGAUUUUUGUAAUGAUGUAGGUUUGAACUUACGAUCCGGAGAUUGAUUAAUCAUAUCUGCUUCGGAUUCUGUUGCUCCUGAUCCACGAUGCUAAAGCUGUCCCGGUGGCGUGCGUUGAUUUAAUCGCCAAUAUAAAGAAUGAUUCAGUAACAGCUUCAGAUUCAACAUCCAAAAUUUGUUUUCAUUAAGAUAUUUCAUUGUGGUAGAGCAUUACGAUCCCUUCUUUUAAAUAUCUGUGGAAUAAGAUUGCUUUUUCCCUCUUUCAAACAAUCCUAUGAUCCACCAGAGCAUCCACCUAUUCAGCACAUAUUUUCCGACGAAAUGAUACAUAAUUGGUGAUUUUUUGAUGGACAAGUUCCCAAUCCAAUCCAGCUGCAGUAAUGUUUUCUUUGGUGCUUUUGGAUGAGUAGGGGAAAAUGAAGAAACAAAUAAGAUGCACAAAUUUGUAAACAGAAGCAGAGGCUCUGUAAGAGAGAGACAAAAUGUGUUGCCAAAUGCGUAACAUAUCUCCCAACCUUUUUGCUCCUAGCAUUUAAAGAGCAGUUGAAAAGCAUUCUGUAUGCUGCCAAGUGAAACCACUUCAAGCAGUUGAAAUGCUAAUUAACAGCCGAAAGCUUUUGAGCAGCACAGUUUAUGCUAACUUAAGGCAGCUAUGCAUUCGAACUGCUUAUGUAGGGCAGCAAGCAGUUUAAAUGCGUAAUACGGGCUGAUACACGGUUUAUUCAAAUGCUUAGUGGUUACCUGGGUAUUCCAGGAGAUCUCAGGGGGUUUCAGGGGUUUUCAAGGGAGUUCCAUGGGGUCUCAGGGGGUUUUAGGGGCGUUUUAGGUGGUUUCAGGAAGUUUCAGGGGAUUUCAUUCAAUUGGUUUUCAAAGGGUUUCAGAAGCAUUCCAGGGGGUUCCGAAGGGGUUUCAGGGACAUUUCAGGAGGUUUCUGCGAGUGUCAAAAACGUUUCAUGGAGAUUCAGAGGUGUUCCUGUAGGUUUCAGGGGGUUUCCGUAGCGCUGGAAGGGAUUUAAGGGGAUUUGUGAUAAAAUCAUCGAAGCUCAAACGCAUCGAACCAAAAUUUUACUCUAACCGUUUUUGUCACAUAUCUCAAAAUUUCGCAACCUUUCUCGAAUUCUCUGUCCACAACAUUUAGACGCUUCCUAGAACACAUAAUAUUUCUAAUGCGAUCAGUAACUGCGAACUAUAACCAAUUGCACCCUAGUGCUCUACACAACUUCGCGUUCGUUUCAAUUUCGAUCCCAUUUUGUUAUAUGUGUUUCAGUGUAUUGUUUUCAACUUUCUAGCGUAUUUGUUUUGUCUUGUUCUGUUUUUUUUUGUAGUUUUAUCUCCUAUAGUUUAGUUAAAGCUGAAACCCACGCAUAUUUUCACCGGAAAGUAUUGUCACAAGUCGUCGGUUCACGUGUUGUCCGAUUGUUUUUUCUAAUCCACUAAACAUAAAAGAUUCGACAUUUCUGUUUCCAUUUGCAGGACGAUGGCUGGCUGCAAAGUUAUACAACCCAAAGAUUAGCUUUUUGAGCGAUGGCUAUUUUACAAUUAUUGUCUCUCUGUGUUCAUUGAUUUGGUUUGCACUACGGUUUAUAUGAUUGACAAUUCAUGUUCUUUUGAUGUUUUUUUUAUACAAACAAAACAUUGUAAUGUUAUUUUGGUGAUCUGUAUUAUGAAUUUGAACUUCGAACCUGAACUUAAUGGGCUUCAUAUCAAAUCACUUAAAGUUUAAUGUCUCUUAUCAGCAGGCUUGUCCGCACUGAGCGCAUGAAAAUUCUGCUCUUUGGAUUUACAUCAUCAAGCACAUCAUAAAUUGGAAAUCUUUCCAUCUUAUCAGCUAGAAGGAUGUUGAAAUAUUGUAAAUGUCAUUUCGAACUGUCAAAAAACCGCACACGCUAAGGUCAGAUUACCUAUAAAUAGGUAGUCGAUUUACCCAUAUUUGGGUUUUGCAUUUAAAACCCAUAAUAUGGGUAAAAUAUACUGAGAAAAAACGGUAAAAUUUACUCAUAUUAGCAGUAAAGUCAAUUUACCCAAAUAUGGGUAACUGAACUUCACCCAUAUUUGGCUGAAAAAUAAGUGUUUGUAAAAAACAGACUGAUCAACACGCUGGAGCAGGAACUUCUAAACAGAUUUCAUUAAAAGGUCACAAUGAUGAAAGAUUCUCUUGAUCGCGAGUUGCCACAUUCAGCACACUCCUCCGUCCAGCAAGACCGAAUUCGGUUCCAGAACCUUCUCAUGAUCAACCACAAUCAAUAGCUCGGACUCUGUCAGGGACUCUGCUGGAUUACCACCGGUACCGUCUUUUCUUCAAAUAACCGGGCGGUAGCGCCGGGAGCAAGAAAAACCUGUGUGAUUAACAAUUGGCAUCACUUGAGCAGGGAAGGUUUAAUAAAAUCCGAGAUAAAAUCCAUGUGAUUUGAAAAAGGCAAGCAAUUAAGACAAAUAGCAAUAAAUAGUUCAAUUGGUAACUUUUUUAUUAUAAUUUCAGGUCCCAAUGACAAUGGAUAUCUUUGCACGAUAUCGCGAAUCGCCCAUGGAAUUUCCAUAUCAAGCUUUUGCAGCACUAAGUGUCCCCGAGCGUGUCCCUCAACAAUUCGUCCAGUCAUCAUAUAAACUGCGAACUCCAGAGAGGCCGAAUUUGGUUGUAGCGGCAAGGAAACGGUGAUCCGAUCAAAAAUACGCUGAAUCAAUAGCCUGUUACAACAUUCCCAUAAAAACAUCACGUGUGUUUUCCAUCAGUACUUCCCAACCAGAUCGACGAUUCCGAUUCUCCCGCACCAGAGCCAACCGCAACCCGUCUGAGCGACUCAUCCUGAUUACCGUCCGGAAGCGCCAAGCCAAUGCACAGAAAAGUCUGAACCUCUGGGAGUCGGAGUACAAUAGAUUAUUUAUAAGUGAGUAGAAUGUAACUAUCAAAGUUAAUAAAGUCUAAAUUAAGUAAAAAGAAAAACCAAUUAUGUAUGUUUCAUCAUUUUUUUUCCGAGAAAACUUUGAAAAUUAUAACACAAUCUCAUUACGCAAAUAUGAGUUAAAUUUACCUAUAUUUUUCGUUAGCACAAGUACUCAUAUUUGGGUAGUGCUCGUUUACCCAUAAGUUAGUAAAGCCACUUUACCCAUAAAAUGAGGUUGUGCACUUUUUGGCGAUUAUGAGUAUACUUUACUCAUAUUUGGGUAAAUUGACCUUAGCGUGCACCGCAGAGCCACACGGAGCGCGCAAAGAGAUUUUCACCCGGGUGAAAACACUCUAGUGAAUUUCACUUUGAACGGCCCGUGCGGCGCUGCGGUGCGGUUUUUUGACAGUUCGAAAUGACAUUUACAAUAUUUCAACAUCCUUCUAUCUGAUAAGAUGGAAAGAUUUCUAAUUUAUGAUGUGCUUGAAGGUGUAAAUCCAAAGAGCAGAAUUUUCAUGCGCUCAGUGCGGACAAGCCUGCUUAUCAGUUUUUUUCAGAAUUUUCAUGAAUAUAAAAUGUGUUCAUAUUAAUGGUAUGUGUUAGGUUUUCCAAAUAAUUUCCUUACAAAUUAACUUCUUUUAUGGUUUAUAGCAGAGUCGUUUAUGCCAUCUUUUACCUGAACAUGUAGCCCUCUCCAAUUAUUCCGAACAAUUAUUGUCUUAUUGAUACUUUUCAGCUUGAUAAUAUGUAUAUAUUGUUAGGCUCAUUAUGCAGCAGUUUCCUAGUUCAUCGUAUGCUUCAUUGUUUGUUUUCCUAUAGGACGAUUAUAGUAAUAAUGAUUCUGUCCAUAAGAUACCUUUCUUCAUGGGGCGAAAUGGCUGCUUCUAUAGAUACAUGUUUGGUGAACAAUGUCAAAAGGUAACUUGCCACUAUCGGAAGAAUUUAAAAUUACAUAGCUCUACAGGUUCCUAUGGUUGUUUACUAUAAAGGUUCACUAAUACAAAAAGAUAGUAGUUGAUCUAUCAUUCGGUUUGUAUAAUUUUUAUAGAUAAUCACACUUGUCUGAUAUAGUGCAAAGUUCAUAUUAGUUCCUCGCUUUGCUAACAUUGAAAUCAUACUCCGAUAUUUGUAUCUUCUUUUCUCUAGAAAAUGUCUUUGAUUUGUAUGAAAUUGAUUCUGCAUUAUAUGUGCAGCGAGCACUGGAUUAAAUUAUAUUCAUUUUGUAGUUUAAAACUCUUACGUUAUAGCGUGAACGGUACACUCAAAACUGAUUUUGCAGGACACAACAACCAACUAAUAAGCGCUCCAUCAAAUUAAUCUAUUCUAAUUGGACACAACGGCUUUCAUAAAUAUACGGAAAUAGUAACGCAUUCUAUCAACUGUCAUUCCUAGUUCUUCGCCUUAACAAAAUACUUCAUCUAACCUGAAUAAAAUCGCGAUCCCUAUAUAGUCAACCAUCUUUUCUAGUGUUCAUACGAGAUCACACUUUGCCUAGCAGUUAUAAAAGUUGUCAUGUUAUGCACCAUUUCUAAUUCUACAACAUUUUCCCUUGGACCGGACCGGCCGACCUUCUGAUUCUGCGUUUCGUUUAUAUUUGUAGUGUUAGUGUCUUUGGCAAAAUAUUAUAUUGUAUUAUGAUGAGUAAAAUGUGCUUUCGUUCAACUUGUGCUCUGGUUGUUUAUUGUCGUUAGUUUCAUUUCUUUUAGCAGACAAACACAUUCAACUGCUUCAAAACAUAAAACAAACAGAUAGCUUACCUAUGUAUAUCAAACAAACAAUAGACAAUUUACUUAUGGUUUAAAUAAUCAACCUGUGGAAUGUUUAUUGUCAUUGUGGAUUUGUAAUUUUUCCGUUAUUUUUCUUCACUUCCAUACCAUGAAAGUUGAUAUUAUCCAUUUCUCUUGAUAUGUUUUCAAUCAAACUAUUGUUCAAAAAGCUCAUUCAUUUAAAGUGCAUCUGUAAUGUAGGAGUUUCAACCAGCAACUUGCAAAUAAUUACCAUUUAUUACUUCCCACCCACACACUUUUUCAAUGUCUCAUUGCUGAUAAAUGAUUAAAAUAAAGAGUGAUAGAACGAAACUUGUUAAAACUCAUUAAAAUUUAUCAUA